UACGGAGGGUGCAAGCGUUGUCCGGAAUUACUGGGCGUAAAGGGCGCGUAGGCGGCCUUCUAAGUCAGACGUGAAAUCCCCCGGCCUAACCUGGGAACUGCGUCUGAUACUGGAGGGCUUGAGUAUGGGAGAGGGAUGUAGAAUUCCAGGUGUAGCGGUGAAAUGCGUAGAUAUCUGGAGGAAUACCGGUGGCGAAGGCGGCAUCCUGGACCAUUACUGACGCUGAGGCACGAAAGCUAGGGGAGCAAACAGG
rnacentral:rRNA from 1 species